GACAGAGGAUGCAAGCGUUAUCCGGAAUGAUUGGGCGUAAAGCGUCUGUAGGUGGCUUUUCAAGUCCGCCGUCAAAUCCCAGGGCUCAACCCUGGACAGGCGGUGGAAACUACCAAGCUGGAGUACGGUAGGGGAGACUGGAAUUCCUGGUGUAGCGGUGAAAUGCGCAGAUAUCGGAAGGAACACCAGUGGCGAAAGCGGCUUCCUGGUCCGACACCGACGUUCAGGCACGAAAGCGUGGGGAGCAAACAGG
rnacentral:rRNA from 1 species